CACAAGGCAUACCGGAGAGAGAAGGAUGUACUCAUUUGGAAAUAUGCUGACACGAUGCGAGUGUGCCAGCCCUGUCAUGAGAACUGCACCCAGGGAUGUACUGGACCUGAUCUGAAGGACUGCAAAGAUUUCAAAGGUUCGGGUUUGCCCAUGAUAGCUGCUGGUGUGGUCGG